GUCAUGCAAAUGAGCAAAAAGAAAAUACAAAAAAGUUUCUUCACAUUAUCCAUGCAAUUGGCUUGUAGGGUACUAUUUUUUCACUGGCACCUAGAUCAGUCACACUGAUCAACCUUAAUGGCAUAGGUUAACUCGAAUCACUUAGCGAUCUAAUCAAAAUCUAAUUCACCAAAUUGGUUAGGUAAGUAAGAUCGAUGGGAGGG
rnacentral:lncRNA from 1 species